CAUCUAAAAGCCCAAAGGCCGGGCUUGGGAUUCUUAGGUAAAAACAACCCGUUAUGCACCGCUUAUCCUCUCCCACCCCUUGACAACCACACCGCCGCUCCUCUCUGUCUUCUACGUUCUGACUUUUCUCUUUCUUCCCCCACCCCCAAUCCCCAACCUCCAAUUGAAGCAUUUUUUUUUUUUUUUGUUCACUUUCACUUCAGAUCUACUCUCCUGUCUCUCUCUUUCCUGCUCUCUCCCAUCGAAUUAAGGUUAUUCAAAUACGUAAAUACUUACAAUAACACGACGACUCGUUGAUCCGCCUGAAGCCCUUUUCAAAGUAGCUGACCGUUUUUGCUCCCUUGUCUACAUAAAUGCAAACAUGCCUUUACUUAUCAAACAAAUGCAAGCAUGCCAUCAGGGUCAUUUAUUGCAUGCAGAUAAGAUCACCUCAGACCCAGAACCUAACUAAUCUCAUUGGUUCUUUAAAAUUUGGAUUGCACCACUAGAUCAACUCAAUGGAGCAUUGAAUGGAAACAAAUCGUGAAGAUAGAUUAAUUCCAUUCUCAGGUUAGUCCGUCUUUAAAAUUUGGAUUGCAGCACUAGAUCAACUCAAUGGAGCACUGAACGGAAACAAAUCAUGAAGAUAAAACAAAUCAUGAAGAUAGAUUAGUUCCAUUCUCAGACAAGGGAGCAAAAAUGGUCAGCUAUUUUGAAAAAGGGCUUCAAGCGGAUCAACGAGUCGUCCUCGUGUUAUUGUGAGUAUUUUCAUAUUCAAAUAACCUGUUAAAUUUAAAGUUAGUGUAGGUAAACUUGUAACCAAUUAUUUAGUGACAGUUGUCAUUAUUCAAGAAUGCUUAAUAUGGUCAUGUUUCAGGAGCCGUGGACUUUCAGCUAUGCAAGGCCAAACUUCUCAAAGGUCCACGUCCUUUAAAUGCGAGGAAAAAAGGGGAAUUUAUGGAUUCCGAUGAAGUACAAUAUCUGCAGCACUAGACAAACUCAUUGGAGCACCGAAUGGAAACAAAGCAUGAAGAUCAGAUUAAUUCCAUUCUCAGGUUAUUCAAAUACGAAAUACUCACCAUAGCACAAGGAGGACUCGUUGAUAUGCCUGACGCCCUUUUCAAAAUAGCUGCCCGUUUUUGCUCCUUUGUCUACAUACAUGCAACCAUACCAUCAGAUAACGAAAAUUUCUUUUUCCAUAACUAAUUCUACGACUAUAAUUCCAAAUUUUAUUUUCUGUGUAUAUGUACUGAAUAAAAAUAAAAGUUACCACAAAUAAUGCAACUUAUAAAGCGCUUUAGGAGGACCUGUGACAUUUUGGGGCCACAAUAAUGGUUGCAAAUGUUGGACCUUUUGGCCAAACGCAUGCACAACCACAACCCACACAGCCACUAUGAUAGUAACACACAAGUAUUUAGAUGAUACAUAAAUAUCAAGGAAAUGCUGCUAAUAGAAGAGAGAACUUAUCAUGUCGAGUACAAUGUAUUUAUUAUCCUUUGAGGGAGAGGAGUCUCUUAAGUACAAUAUUCUAUCUUCUUUAUUCUUUUGGGGCAAUGGGUGGAAAUUGUAAUUCUGUGGAUUGUCUUUUGGAUUUUUUUGAUAGCUUAAAGUUACAGUGUCGUCUUGGACGGCUUUUGUUUCC